rnacentral:rRNA from 1 species
GAUGAACGCUGGCGGCGUGCCUAAUACAUGCAAGUCGAGCGAACGGACGAGAAGCUUGCUUCUCUGAUGUUAGCGGCGGACGGGUGAGUAACACGUGGAUAACCUACCUAUAAGACUGGGAUAACUUCGGGAAACCGGAGCUAAUACCGGAUAAUAUUUUGAACCGCAUGGUUCAAAAGUGAAAGGCGGUCUUGCUGUCACUUAUAGAUGGAUCCCCGCUGCAUUAGCUAGUUGGUAAGGUAACGGCUUACCAAGGCAACGAUGCAUAGCCGACCUGAGAGGGUGAUCGGCCACACUGGAACUGAGACACGGUCCAGACUCCUACGGGAGGCAGCAGUAGGGAAUCUUCCGCAAUGGGCGAAAGCCUGACGGAGCAACGACGCGUGAGUGAUGAAGGUCUUCGGAUCGUAAAACUCUGUUAUUAGGGAAGAACAUAUGUGUAAGUAACUGUGCACAUCUUGACGGUACCUAAUCAGAAAGCCACGGCUAACUACGUG